rnacentral:tRNA from 1 species
GGGGCCAUAGCUCAGCUGGGAGAGCACCUGCUUUGCACGCAGGAGGUCAGCGGUUCGAUCCCGCUUGGCUCCACCA